rnacentral:rRNA from 1 species
CGAACGCUGGCGGCGUGGAUUAGGCAUGCAAGUCGAACGGAGUUUCUAGCUUUUUCGGAAACUUAGUGGCGAAAGGGUGAGUAACACGUGGGUUACCUGCCCUAGGGUUCGGGAUAACCUGUCGAAAGACGGGCUAAUACCGGAUACGUCCUGCACUUUUCGAAGUGCAGGGGAAAGAUGGGGAUCCGUAAGGACCUAUCACCCUUGGAUGGGCCCGCGGCCUAUCAGCUAGUUGGUGAGGUAAUGGCUCACCAAGGCUAAGACGGGUAGCUGGUCUGAGAGGAUGGUCAGCCACACUGGAACUGAGACACUGUCCAGACACCUACGGGUGGCUGCAGUCGAGAAUCUUUCGCAAUGGGGGAAACCCUGACGACGCGACGCCGCGUGGAGGAUGAAGGCCUUCGGGUUGUAAACUCCUGUCAGCAGGGGAGAACAAGCUUUUGGUGAAUAACUGAGAGCUUUGACAGUACCUGCAGAGGAAGCCACGGCUAACUCU